AGCUGAAACCAGAACAGGACACUCAUUAGCACCCACUUGCCAUCAGAACCAGCAGGGGCUGUUUCCAUUACCCACCCCUCACGUUUUGGAAUGACCUUGCUAGUGCCCACAGAGGGAAAAUAAAGGGCUAUACAGGUCUUGGAGGUCUGGAUGUGGCUCAACAAAGCACCUGCAUGUGUGCUGAAGGGAAUAAGCAAACCACCUGUGGAGCGAUGGGGGAGCCUCUGCCCAGACCUUGUUGUGAGAAGGGGCACUGUUUGGUCCAUCCUCCAGGGACGAUGGGAACCACAAAGUGAGUCCAGGGUAAAUGCAGCCAAUCUCCCUGGCUCCCUGACCACACAUCUGCCAUUCUCCCCAAAACCUAGCAUGUCCUUGCCUUGCUUUUCCUUUUGUACCCUGAUGCUUCUCCCUCUCUGCUCUUGGCCACUGCAGCUAGAAUAAGCUAUCAUGUCUUGCUUCCAGAUUCUGCAUGAGCAGAAAAGAUGUGGGCAACUCACAGGGCAUGCACGCUCAGCAGAUCAGAGUGCUUCCAAGAGACUCCUUGCCAUCUCCGUUCUUGCCCCUCUUUUUGAAGGCAGUACCCAUGCCAGUGCUGGCCAGCUAGCUGUGACAGGGACUGGGCUCCUGGCAGUCAGUGUCAGGGAGCAGCAGUGUCCACUGAGCCCAUGCCAUCAGCUGUGAGCCGGAAACGAGCCCUGAGCUCACAUCCUCAUCCGGAGGAAACAUUCCUGAACAUCUGGAGGACCUGAACAUCUGGAAAUCCUCCCUUAGCAGUGGGAACACAUCAGCUGUGCUCACAGCCUUUGGCUCAAAAAGCAACAGAGGAAAACCAGCUGCCCACCUCCACCUUCAGUGAGACCCUCUUAGCACCAUCUCUGGACAAAACACACUUCUCUUUAGGACUCCAGCAGUUGUCCAGGUGCUUGGGAGACUCCCAAAAGAUAUUAAGGGCAAUGUUCAUGCAGGUUUUUCUCCCACGCCCCGGUCCCAGAUGUCCUCAGACAUACAUCUCCCGGGUGCGCUCAUCCCCAAUUGCCUCUCUCUCUCUACAUUUCUGCCAGAGAAGGAGCUGGUUACACCCAGAUGUUCCCAGGUGCUUGGCUUAAGGCCACCCAGCUCAUGCAGGGACAUUGACAGGAGCUCUCCCUCACUAUUAUCCAUCAGGAUUGCAUGAUUUAAAUAAGCUCAUCAUUUAGAAAAAAAACAACCAAACAAAAAACCCAACAAAUAAAAACAAAACCAAAACAAACCCCACAAACACACACAAAAAAAGAAGAAAAACAGGCAAGUGAAUGUGGACAAUCUGAAAAACACUGUUCCUGGCUCCAGCACAUACAAUUUAUAAAAGCAAAAUAUUCCCCUUAUGGCUAACUCUCAACAUUGCAUCAGUUCUGAAUAUCCCAGGGGAUAUAUCUAAUGUGGAAAACUCUUCUGAGGAACACAGGACUUUCACAGUGAAAUAGGUCUGCUCUGAAACUUUAGGACAAGGCAAUUUACAUGAGUGCAUUAGGGGGUAAAAUGCUCAACCCAGCUCUUCAUCUGAACUCUUCUAGGGCCAGUCUGGUGAAUGCGUGGUGAGCCGCAUACCUUGAACACCAGUUUAACUCCUCUUUCAGAGGGGCAGCAUGGGAAGAAGCUUUCCCAGGGAAAGCACGACAAAACACCUAUUUUUUUAAUUCAGUUCUGUAGAAUGUUGUCCCACAAAAUGAGGGAGAAAAAUAAACCGUCGUUUCCUCCUACACACUUCCUCAGAACAGUGGUAAUUUUGACUUACCUAUGUUUUGACAGAAAAAUGCUAUUUCAGUCAAAAAGGUGUUUCAUUAAAAAAUACCCAUUGCUGAAA